rnacentral:rRNA from 1 species
ACCGGGAUAACCCCGGGAAACUGGGGAUAAUACCGGAUAACGCAUAUCUGCUGGAAUGCUUUAUGCGUAAAAUGGAUUUGUCUGCCCAAGGAUGGGUCUGCGGCCUAUCAGGUAGUAGUGGGUGUAAUGUACCUACUAGCCUACGACGGGUACGGGUUGUGAGAGCAAGAGCCCGGAGAUGGAUUCUGAGACAUGAAUCCAGGCCCUACGGGGCGCAGCAGGCGCGAAAACUUUACAAUGCGGGAAACCGUGAUAAGGGGACACCGAGUGCCAGCAUCAUAUGUUGGCUGUCCAGAUGUGUAAAAUACAUCUGUUAGCAAGGGCCGGGCAAGACCGGUGCCAGCCGCCGCGGUAACACCGGCGGCCCGAGUGGUGAUCGUGAUUAUUGGGUCUAAAGGGUCCGUAGCCGGUUUGGUCAGUCCUCCGGGAAAUCUGACGGCUCAACCGUUAGGCUUUCGGUGGAUACUGCCAGACUUGGAACCGGGAGAGGUAAGAGGUACUACAGGGGUAGGAGUGAAAUCUUGUAAUCCCUGUGAGACCACCUGUGGCGAAGGCGUCUUACCAGAACGGGUUCGACGGUGAGGGACGAAAGCUGGGGGCACGAACCGGAUUAGAUACCCGGGUAGUCCCAGCCGUAAACGAUGCUCGCUAGGUGUCAGGCAUGGCGCGACCGUGUCUGGUGCCGCAGGGAAGCCGUGAAGCGAGCCACCUGGGAAGUACGGCCGCAAGGCUGAAACUUAAAGGAAUUGGCGGGGGAGCACAACAACGGGUGGAGCCUGCGGUUUAAUUGGACUCAACGCCGGACAACUCACCGGGGACGACAGCAAUAUGUAGGCCAGGCUAAAGACCUUGCCUGAAUCGCUGAGAGGAGGUGCAUGGCCGUCGCCAGUUCGUACUGUGAAGCAUCCUGUUAAGUCAGGCAACGAGCGAGACCCGUGCCCACUGUUACCAGCAUGUCCUCCGGGACGAUGGGUACUCUGUGGGGACCGCCGAUGUUAAAUCGGAGGAAGGUGCGGGCUACGGUAGGUCAGUAUGCCCCGAAUUUCCCGGGCUACACGCGGGCUACAAUGAAUGGGACAAUGGGUCCCUACCCCGAGAGGGGUUGGUAAUCUCCCAAACCCAUCCGUAGUUCGGAUCGAGGGCUGUAACU